CCUACGGGGUGCUGCAGUGGGGAAUAUUGGACAAUGGGCGAAAGCCUGAUCCAGCCAUGCCGCGUGUGUGAAGAAGGCCUUCGGGUUAUAAAGCACUUUCAGUGGGGAAGAAAGCCUUGGGGCUAAUACCCUCGAGGAAGGACAUCACCCACAGAAGAAGCACCGGCUAACUCCGUGCCAGCAGCCGCGGUAAUACGGAGGGUGCGAGCGUUAAUCGGAAUUACUGGGCGUAAAGCGCGCGUAGGCGGUCUGAUAAGCCGGUUGUGAAAGCCCCGGGCUCAACCUGGGAACGGCAUCCGGAACUGUCAGGCUAGAGUGCAGGAGAGGAAGGUAGAAUUCCCGGUGUAGCGGUGAAAUGCGUAGAGAUCGGGAGGAAUACCAGUGGCGAAGGCGGCCUUCUGGACUGACACUGACGCUGAGGUGCGAAAGCGUGGGUAGCAAACAGGAUUAGAUACCCCAGUAGUC
rnacentral:rRNA from 1 species